ensembl:lncRNA
AAUUGUACUUUUGUGAGCCUGUAUGUAACGGUUGUUGUUGGUGGAAGAAGGUGAGGACCAAUGCGUAGCGUGGUAAGUGUCCAUAUUUUUAAUAAAGAAAUUGAACACAACAAAAACAACAAAGUGAACGAACGAAACCGAAACAGUUCUGUCUGGUGCAGAAUACAAACACUCAACAGAAAAUAAUCACCCACAAAUCAAGGGUGAAAACAGGCUGCCUAAGUAUGGUUCUCAAUCAGGGACAACGAUUGACAGCUGCCUCUGAUUGAGAACCAUACCAGGCCAAACCCAGAAAUACCAACUCAUAGAAAAACAAACAUAGACAACCCACCCAACUCACGCCCUGACCAUACUAAAACAAAGACAUAACAAAAGAACUAAGGUCAGAAUGUGACACAGUAUAGGUCCUUCAGGUUGAUUAAGUUAGGGAACAAAGCAAUACCAAAUACUUUCUGUACCAAUAAGUACAUUUUUGUGCAGUUUUUAUGAGAUCAGAUAUACAGUAGCAUCCAGAAUUGCAUGUCUUGGCAAAUGUGAAAUGUAAUGAAAUGUACAUCAAAACAAAUGGUGUCCAACUGGUUGUUUCAAACUGUGCUACAAUGUCGGGAUCAUUUUGUGUAUUGUGGUUUCAAAUGGACCAUUACACAUAUUUUUACUGUGUCCCCCCCUUCUCUGGGUAUGCUUGAAUAUGUAUUGAAUAACUACUUAAUAACAGUACUUGUACAGUAUUUUAGCAUAAAUCUGUCAACUGAUGAAAAAUAUUUUUUCUUCUUACAUUAUCUUCUGCAUUACUUCCAGUUUCUGACCACCCUUCCCAUCUAUUUGAGUGUUUGAUUCAACAUGUGUGACAGGUGUAUGAUGAAGACGUACCAGCAGCUACAGUGUAUUCCUCUGUGUGGUUUAGAGCAUCUGAGCCAAUGUAAAAGUAUUCCAGGUACAAUAAAAUACACGUUGCCAAAGUCUGUGGAACAAGUGGAGAUAACUAUCAAAGUUAUUUAGUUCUACGUUACAGCAUUAAAGUUCUUUGCAUAACAAGAAUGUUGCUUCCUAGUUCUUCUGAUGACCACAAGAGGGCCUGUGGAAAGCACAAGGAGGAAUGCAGGAGACUUUGAGAACCUCUUCAUUUGUAGCGAAUUCGGUCCCCAAAGUCUUGCCGUUUACCUCAUACAACCCCUGCAGGGUGAGAUUCUGCAGUACGUUGUAAAAGGCAUUCCUUGCAAACUACAGUGUAACCU